rnacentral:SRP_RNA from 1 species
GCCAGGCAUGGUGGCGCAUGCCUGUAGUCCCAGCUUCCCGGGAGGCUGAGGUGGGAGGAUCACUUGAACCCAGGAGGCGGAGGUUGCAGUGAGCCAAGAUGGUGCCAUUGCACUCCAGCCUGGGUGACAGAGUGGGACCCUGUCUCAA